AACGCACAUUGCGCCUCUUGGUAUUCCGAGAGGCAUGCCUGUCUGAGCGUCAGUAAAAUACUCACUGAUGAAAUAGGUUUCCGAAUCGAUUUCUGAAUGUGGUUUUGAGUUUUGAUACGAGUUUACAUCAACUUUUAGUUGUAAUGUACCCGUUUAAUAUCUUUCUUGAAAUUUAUAAGGGUGCAAUAUUCUUAAGUGCAUUUUUAGGAAAUUAAGUGUUAUAGGUUUUACCAACUCACUAUUUCUGGCCUUUACUAUAUUUGCACCCUCCAAAACGGAGAAUGGUGUUAAAAACGCCUUUUUCUUACUAUUGAACCUUUGACCUCAGAUCAGGUAGGGAUACCCGCUGAACUUAA
rnacentral:rRNA from 1 species